rnacentral:lncRNA from 1 species
GCGGACGGCGGGAUUCGACGGCUGGGAGAGGGACGUGCCACCAUGGGCGAGCGCCAGGGAACUUAAAGGCCGAGCGAACGCGGGGAAAACAACAUCGUGGGGAAGAACCGCGCAGCGGGUCGAACAGGGGCUGAGCACCAGCAGGGACCGAGCAGGGAGAUUGGGCGACCGUGAAGCUGUACGUCGGCCAUGGGAAGCGGCAGAGGAAGUCGCCAUGUGAAGGAGGCCCAGCUACAGGAGCAAGGGAGAGGAGUCACGGCGCCAUGGGAGAGGACAGGAGCAGAGACGGGGUGGGCGCGUCCACGGCUGCUCUAGGCUCUCGCGAGGCCCCAAUUGUGCCAGACUUCAGCGCGGCCAGGGAGAUGAGCAGUCUGCGGCUUGGGGGAGUACGCCGACCACCAGGAAGCAGGAAACGUCGCCAUGGAUAGCAGGGGUGGCGGCGAACUUGAGGGAGAUGGGGACAGUCGGGGAGCAGGGAGAAGACAUCGAGAGGAGGGAGAUGAGGGAGCUCCGGCCAUGGAGAUGAGGAGAGAGAGAGGAACGCCGACCUGGGCAGGGGAGAGCACGGUGGCUACAGCCGAGCAGGCAAGCUGCGCGCUGUACCAGGGAGCAGGGGUGUCGCGGCCAUGGGGAGAGAGAAGCUAGAGGAGGAUCUUGGAGAGGGAGAGUCGCGGGAGUUGAGGGAGAAGGAGAGGGCUUAGGCGCGCGGUGAACCAGGCGAGCGCUGGGAGGAAGAAGCUCCACGGCGUGGACGCCAGGGCGAGUAGAGGAAGAAGGGGACGCGAUGUUGGGAGGAACUCGGCCAGAGCGCUGAGGUGAGCUCGGCCAUGGCGACGAGGACAGAGGGAGCGUCG